rnacentral:rRNA from 1 species
UACGGAGGGGGCCAGCGUUGUUCGGAAUCAUUGGGCGUAAAGGGCGCGUAGGCGGCUUUGUAAGUCCGUUGUGAAAUCCCUCGGCUCAACCGAGGAACUGCGACGGAUACUGCUCGGCUUGAGUCCCGGAGAGGGUAGCGGAAUUCCCAGUGUAGCGGUGAAAUGCGUAGAUAUUGGGAGGAACAUCGGUGGCGAAGGCGGGUCUCUGGGCCGAUACUGACGCUGAGGAGCGAAAGCGUGGGGAGCGAACAGG